ACAAGUCAAAAUUUUCAUUAACUCAGUAGUCUUUCACAGAAAGGAAUCUGAGAAUUCUUCCACUCACGAGUAAUGUGUUAAAGAAUGAGAAAAGAGCAUAUGUUUUCCUUGGCUUUUGGGUUAAUACAAUAAAGCCUGUGAAGUUUAACAUAAUUAAAUUAAUGUUGAUAUGCAGUGUGACUUGUUCACAGAGAAAUGGUAUUUGACUUAGAGCUAAUGCCACACCACAGCUGACACACAUCCAUCUGCAAAUGUUGUAUAGAAAGUCUUCUAAGAUCUUCAGAUGGAAGUUCUGUCAAGUAUGUUGGUGGCUCUAAAAAAAGUGGGGUGGAGAAAAGCAGAGAAAGAAGACACAAAGAAAAAACAAAACCGCCAGAAACCUACUAUGUGAAGCAUAUGGCCAAAGUAAGUAAACUACCCUUG